rnacentral:lncRNA from 1 species
CAACAACAUCGCGAGGAUGAGACUCUACGAUCCAAACCAAGCCGCCCUGCAAGCCCUCAGGAACUCCAACAUCCAAGUCCUGUUGGAUGUCCCCCGAUCCGACGUGCAGUCACUGGCCUCCAAUCCUUCGGCCGCCGGCGACUGGAUCCGGAGGAACGUCGUCGCCUACUGGCCCAGCGUCUCCUUUCGAUACAUAGCUGUCGGAAACGAGCUGAUCCCCGGAUCGGAUCUGGCGCAGUACAUCCUCCCCGCCAUGCGCAACAUCUACAAUGCUUUGUCCUCGGCUGGCCUGCAAAACCAGAUCAAGGUCUCGACCGCGGUCGACACGGGCGUCCUCGGCACGUCCUACCCUCCCUCCGCCGGCGCCUUCUCCUCCGCCGCCCAGGCGUACCUGAGCCCCAUCGUGCAGUUCUUGGCGAGUAACGGAGCGCCGCUCCUGGUCAAUGUGUACCCUUAUUUUAGCUACACCGGCAACCCGGGACAGAUCUCGCUGCCCUACGCCCUGUUCACGGCCUCCGGCGUCGUCGUGCAGGAUGGGCGAUUCAGCUAUCAGAACCUGUUCGACGCCAUCGUCGACGCGGUCUUCGCGGCGCUGGAGAGAGUGGGAGGGGCGAACGUGGCGGUGGUGGUGUCGGAGAGCGGGUGGCCGUCGGCGGGCGGAGGAGCCGAAGCGAGCACCAGCAACGCGCGGACGUACAACCAGAACUUGAUCAGGCAUGUUGGCGGAGGAACGCCGAGGAGACCAGGGAAGGAGAUCGAGGCGUACAUAUUCGAGAUGUUCAACGAGAACCAGAAGGCUGGAGGGAUCGAGCAGAACUUUGGCCUGUUUUAUCCCAACAAGCAGCCCGUCUACCAAAUAAGCUUCUAGAAACUAACUUGUAAGGUUGAUGAAUCAUCUCCUACCUACCUACCUACCUACGAAUAAAACAUGAAAUGAAGCACCAGAAUAAAGGGAGAAUUCUGAUCAUGGAGAAAGUUGAAUCAUGAUGAUAUACAACAAACACCCCUCUUUACUCAUUAUCAGUAUGUUACAAGUUUCUGGAAACUUGAACGGAUCACAAUUUGGACCUAC